rnacentral:tRNA from 1 species
GCCGGAGUGGCGAAACUGGUAGACGCAGGGGACUUAAAAUCCGCUGGAGCGAAAGCUCCGUCCCGGUUCGAAUCCGGGCUCCGGCACCA